rnacentral:rRNA from 1 species
UACGUAGGGGGCGAGCGUUGUCCGGAUUUAUUGGGCGUAAAGCGCGUGUAGGCGGCUUGGUAGGUCUGCUGUGAAAACUCGGGGCUCAACCCCGAGACGUCGGUGGAAACCACCUGGCUAGAGUCCGGAAGAGGAGAGUGGAAUUCCUGGUGUAGCGGUGAAAUGCGCAGAUAUCAGGAAGAACACCCGUGGCGAAGGCGGCUCUCUGGGACGGUACUGACGCUGAGACGCGAAAGCGUGGGGAGCGAACAGG